rnacentral:rRNA from 1 species
UACGGAGGGUGCAAGCGUUAUCCGGAGUCACUGGGUUUAAAGGGUGCGUAGGCGGACAGGUAAGUCAGGGGUGAAAUCUCUGGGCUUAACCCAGAAACUGCCGUUGAUACUAUUUGUCUUGAAUAUCCUGGAGGUAGGCGGAAUAUGUCAUGUAGCGGUGAAAUGCUUAGAUAUGACAUAGAACACCGAUAGCGAAGGCAGCUUACUACAGGAUGAUUGACGCUGAGGCACGAAAGCGUGGGGAGCAAACAGG